GCAACUUGAAGUCUCAUCAAUGGCUUGGCAUCCCUAGUUUUGAAGGUUCUCAUUAUCCAACCUGCCUUUUUUCUAGCAGAUGCGAUUGAUGCAAUUAUGUGGUCUUUGAAAGUGAGAUCCUCUGACAUUAUCACUCCCAGGUCUUUGACAUUACUUUUCGCUCUACUGUGUAGUUGGAAUUUCUUUUAUACUCCGACAUAGUUUUAAUUUCCUCACGUUUUCUAUAUUGGAGUAGUUGAAAUUUCUCAUCAUUGAACUUCAUGUCGUUUUCUGCAGCCCAUUUAAAGAUUUGGUUGAUGUCCGCCUGGAGUCUUGCAGUGUCUUCAGUGGAGGACACUGUUAUGCAGAUUCGGGUGUCAUCUGCGAAAGAAGACACAGCGCUGAGCUUAUAUCCCUAUCUAUGUCAGAUAUGAGGAUGAGGAACAAGGUGUGAGCGAGUACUGUGCCUUGUGGAACAGAGCUUUUCACCGUAGCCGCCUCAGACUUUACUCUGUUGACUACGACUCUUUGUGUUCUGUUUGUUAGGAAAUUAUAGAUCCAUCUACCAACUUUUCUUGUAAUUCUCUUAUCACACAUUUUGUGCGUUAUUACACCAUGGUCACAUUUGUCAAAGGCUUUUACAAAGUCUCUGUAUAUUACAUCUGCAUUCUGUUUGUCUUCUAGAGCAUCUAGAACCUUGUCGUGGUGGUCCAGCAGUUGGGACAGACAGGAGCGACCUGUUCUAAAGCUGUACAGCUCUGGGUUGUGUAAUUGAUGGGUAUCUAGAUGGGUGGUGACCUUGCUUCUUACAAACCUGUCAAAGACUUUUAUGAUAUUGGGCGCUAUUGGUCUGUAGUUCGUUGCUCUUGCGUCACUGCGUCACUGCAUACCUCAAGUGCUAUGUAAAAUGUGAUUACACAAUAUCAUUAAUGUAAAAACAAAUAUUUAUUUAUACACCAUAAUAUCCAAAGGCAUAAAUGAGAGUUGAUGGUAAGUCUCUGCAUAAUAGAUAUUAAGAGGCUUAGAUAACGAAGCGAGAAUAAUAGAUUUAAUGUUUGUUAUUAUCUGUAACUCAACUAAUUUGUUCUCACCAGGAAGAAUGCUGUGUUGAUUAAUGUUGGUCGAGGUGAUGUUAUCAGCGAGGCGGACAUUGUGAAAGCACUGGACUCAGGAUGGAUAUCAGCAGCAAUAUUAGACGUUGUCGAGAAGGAACCAUUAUCAUCAGAAAGUCUUCUGUGGACACAUCCAAAGUGUAUUUUGACUCCUCAUACGGCUGCAGUGGUUGUUUUUCGUCCUGAAGAUAUUGCUGAUGCAUUUUCAAGGAACUACCAAGACUUUUUACAAGGCAACUCGAUAAGUGGAACAAUAGACUUCAGUAGAGGCUAUUAACUUGGUAAGCAGAAUUUCAGAAUGAACAUAAAGAGAGAAAAAAAAUGGUUUGUAAUUUUUCGACCUCAGGCUUAAAUCCUCUUUCUUCUCAUUAUUAGAAUCCAAAGAUUCUUUAUUAACUGUAUUCUACAGAAGAGGACCUUAGAUGGAGGUCGAAAAAGACAGAAAGUUUCCCAGUUUUUACCAUCAUGUGAGUUGUUUCCUGAUGAUGUGUGUGUAAACACCAACUUUCCAUAAACUGUAGCACAGAAUUCUUCAUAUAUACACUUUGUGUAAGUAACAUUGAAGUGAUCAGGAGAUUUAGGAUGUAUAAAAAUAUGUACUUUCCUCCCCAUUCAAAACUCAUACAUUAAAAUAAUAUAUAUUAAAAAAAAACUGGAUGUUAUGUGUAUUACAACGCCAAAAAAAAAAUUUGAAAGAAAUUUAAGAAUUUAUGAUUAUGAUUUGUCGCAAAAUUAUGUUAGACAUGAUAAGAGAAUCGUUGAAAGGAUGUGUUUGUGUGUUAGGGAAUUCUUCAGAAAUAUUUAACAUGUUUUUGUUCUUAGUAAAAUGUUAAACACCAUCUACAACUCCAGCUGCUUUUGAUCGUUACAAAGCAACACAUUUUAGGAUUUAAAAGGUUGCCAGUGAACAAUGCAGAAUAAACUUUAAGAAAUACUUUAACUAAGACAAGUCCUAGAGCUGGAUAGUACUGUGUCUUCACUCUGAAAGAUGAGACAGAAUGUUGCAGAACGGAGAGUCACUGGAAAUAUGAAGUCAGCACACUACAUGCAAGGCAGCAGUAGAAUGUUUGAUGAUGUUAACUUCUUAGAACCAGUGUUCCUGGUGAAUAAUAGCUGAUUAAGGUUACCCAGGUCGUCUCCCACCCAGAGGCUGGAGACGACCUGAGUGCUGAUUAAGGUUACCCAGGUCGUCUCCCACCCAGAGGCUGGAGAUGACCUGAGUGCUGAUUAAGGUUACCCAGGUCGUCUCCCACCCAGAGGCUGGAGACGACCUGAGUGCUGAUUAAGGUUACCCAGGUCGUCUCCCACCCAGAGGCUGGAGACGACCUGAGUGCUGAUUAAGGUUACCCAGGUCGUCUCCCACCCAGAGGCUGGAGACGACCUGAGUGCUGAUUAAGGUUACCCAGGUCGUCUCCCACCCAGAGGCUGGAGACGACCUGAGUGCUGAUUAAGGUUACCCAGGUCGUCUCCCACCCAGAGGCUGGAGACGACCUGAGUGCUGAUUAAGGUUACCCAGGUCGUCUCCCACCCAGAGGCUGGAGACGACCUGAGUGCUGAUUAAGGUUACCCAGGCGUCUCCCACCCAGAGGCUGGAGACGACCUGAGUGCUGAUUAAGGUUACCCAGGUCGUCUCCCACCCCGAGGCUGGAGACGACCUGAGUGUUAAUAUGUAUCAUCUACUUCAAAUCUCGUAAGAGCACUUAUUAUGUUGUCUUAUUGUAGACUGUGUACCUUAUUAUACAUAUGUAAAUGUAUAUGUAUAUUUACAACAUAAAUACUAUAGCAUUAGAACUGGACAAGUCUAAUGCUCUGUUUAUUCAUGUGAUAGAUUUUAACCAUCCAAUUCAUCUUCAAAAAGCCGAGAAAGUUGCAUCAGGCAGAUCUAUGGCUAAGAGAAAUAUAGAUGAAUCAAGCUUCGUGAAAGUAGUUUUGAUUUUAAUAUGAAUAUUGAUUUACAGUAAUACAAAUAAGAUUUGUUAAUAAUUAAUAAAAUUUGGGAAGAAUUUAA